rnacentral:rRNA from 1 species
UUUUUAUCAAGAGUUUGAUCCUGGCUCAGGAUGAACGCUGGCGGCGUGCCUAACACAUGCAAGUCGAGCGGGAAGCUCACAAAUGAUUCUUCGGAUGAAUGCGUGAGUGGACAGCGGCGGACGGGUGAGUAACGCGUGG